UAUAUUUUGGUGUAAGGCAUAAAAAUUUUUGGAAUUUUUGGGAGUAAUCAUUUUACUAAAUAUAA
rnacentral:tRNA from 1 species